UACGUAGGGGGCUAGCGUUGUCCGGAAUCAUUGGGCGUAAAGCGCACGUAGGCGGCUUUCUAAGUCAGGGGUGAAAUCCUGGAGCUCAACUCCAGAACUGCCUUUGAUACUGGAGAGCUUGAGUCCGGAAGAGGUGAGUGGAACUCCGAGUGUAGAGGUGAAAUUCGUAGAUAUUCGCAAGAACACCAGUGGCGAAGGCGGCUCACUAGCCCGGUACUGACGCUGAGGUGCGAAAGCGUGGGGAGCAAACAGG
rnacentral:rRNA from 1 species